ensembl:lncRNA
UCUCAGUGCGCUGUAGAGAGAGGAGCGAGGUGCACACGUUGAGCGCGGCAACUCUACAGGGGGGUGGGAGUGAGCGAGCAGCAGACACAGCAGCCGCUACGAGCCAGCAUUUCCACGGCACGCGCGCAGCCAGGAGAAGGAGAGCCGAAGACGAAAGAAGAAGAGAAGAGGAGGAGAACUAAAAGGGGCAAAUUAACUCCCCGCCGCCGCGCCGGGGCUCCGUACCGCCACAGAGAGAGACACACAGCGAGGGACAAGACAGUGACAGAGAGAGAUACAGAGUGGGAGAGAGAGAGAGGUAUACAGAGAGAGAGAGAGAGAGGAGAAGAGGAGGAGGCAGAGGCAGAAGCUUCCGUCUGUGGUUGAAGCAGCAGCGAGCGGAUCAGUGUCUCUACAACCCACAGAACCUGGAUAGUUUUGCGCUUCUGACUCUGAGUGGUAAUUGUCCUGGUCGAGGGAUCUGCCGUCUGGGAAUCGCUUGUUGUUCUCUCACUAUGGAUGGAUUUAAGAGAGUGAAGUGAGAGAGCUGGACAGGCAGCAACACUGACUGAGCGUCUUCUGUUCUGGACUCGCUGCUCAG